GGGAGUUUAGCUCAGCUGGUUUAGAGCACCUGCCCUACAAGCAGGGGGUCACUGGUUCGAAUCCAGUAACUCCCACCA
rnacentral:tRNA from 1 species